rnacentral:rRNA from 1 species
AUGGCGGAGGAACCAUCCGCCAAGCGUCAUCAAGACGAGCUGUCGGACAAGAGCAGCAACCUCGUCGACGUUCACGUCCCCGGCGAGAAGCGCGAGUACACCAAAACCCUCAGAGGGGUUGAGCUCCACGGCAAGGAGACGCUGGAGAUCGUUUGCACCAGCGAACCAGACAAGGCCGACGAGGUGAUCUCCAGGCUCUGGAGGAAGCUUGGCGGCAUGCCCAAGCGCCUGAACGAGUUGCUGCACCAUGAGACGUUGUUCACAUUUGCCGGUUUCAGCAUUGAAAGCGACAAAGAGAAGCUGAAGUUGUCCGGUUUGGAGAUCAACCCCAACAAGUUCAUCAACAUUCAGCGCAAGUGGAGAGUUCCAUACACCGGAAAAGAGUACGACUCCUUGACUGAUGUUGCAGCCAGCGUCAUCCACCCAUUCUACAAAGGCAUGAAGAAGAACAUCAACACGCAGGAAGACUAG